rnacentral:tRNA from 1 species
GCUAUUUUGGCAGAAAAGUGCAUUAAAUUUAGAAUUUAAAUAUGGGGCAGACUCAAAUAGUA